UAUUGAGAGUUUGAUCCUGGCUCAGAAUGAACGCUGGCGGCGUGCCUAACACAUGCAAGUCGAACGAGAAAGGUAGCAAUACUGAGUACAGUGGCGCACGGGUGAGUAAUGCAUAGGAAUCUGCCUUUGAGUGGAGAAUACCCUGGAGAAAUCUAGGUUAAUACUGCAUAAGCCGGAAACGGGAAAGGGGGCCUCAAGCUCCCGCUGAAAGAUGAGCCUAUGUUCUAUUAGUUAGUUGGUGGGGUAAAGGCCUACCAAGACAGAGAUGGAUAGCCGGCCUGAGAGGGUGAUCGGCCACACUGGAACUGAGACACGGUCCAGACUCCUACGGGAGGCAGCAG
rnacentral:rRNA from 1 species